rnacentral:lncRNA from 1 species
CCACCUGUCGGGUCUGAGCUAUAGGAUGCCACAUUCGUUGCAAGAGCAACUACAAUAAAAUAUAAUCAAUUUAUACCAAUACACAUUUAAUUAUGAGCAAUUCAUGAAUAUGAUAUUAUUUACAAACCUUUCCGAGUCUUAUACGAGCAUAUGAAAGCUCUAAUGCUAACCCAAGGUCGAAUUAGGAUUAAAUUGUAAUAUUUUCAAAAUGUCAGGUUGACAUUGUGAUGCUAAGGGGUCCUUGCAACGCAACAUACUGAUUUGGUCUUG